ensembl:lncRNA
CAGCUCCUCUCUGAGAGCAGGCAUUAAGCACAGAGCAUGGUGCGUGGUCACUGUUGUGCUAAUUGGGAGCAACACUUAAAGUUUUAUCUCUCAAGCGCUAAUAAUGCACAGUGCUGACAAACCAGUGAAUAAGUAAUGUACUUGGACGAGAAGGGGGGGCAACCCGGCAUGCCUGGAAUGAAAAAUGCAGUUGGGACUGUUGUUCAGUGACUAGCUAUUUGAUUAGGCCCUGUAGUCAUAUUUAAUCCAGACCCUUGGGGAGCAUAGACAAAAUUACAUCUUCAUCUCAUCAAACAUUCAGCCAUAUUUAAGCAUUCAGCUGAUCAAGCUUUUAUUGUUUCUCUUGCAGCUACACAGACACAAUGAUGUCCUAUGUUCUUCCCUCCGUAACCCUGCAAAGCUAAGCCUAAACUAGCUGUGCUCUUUUCUUUUUCUCAGGGCCAGGGUGUACAGUGAAUCUCUAGCAGUCUGCUCUAGCUAUCGUGCCACAGUUAGAUAUCCGCAUCAGCUUUAUACCCAUUUGUUUCUAUUUUCAGCUUUAUUCUUUCUUUAUUUUUUCCCCUCUUUUGUGCUGGCUACUCAGAGCUCUGGUCAUUUCCUUGGACAGUUCUAAAUCAUUAAACGGCAAACUGUUCCUUUUCUGUGAAGCAGCAGGUAUCAUUUCUGGCCUGACAAGAGCAGGCUCCACCUGCCGACUGCCCACCAACGCAUCCAGCUGUCUGCUUUGCAGAACAGGCAAGUUCCCAUAGAGGUAAUAGAGGCUGAUGGCUUUCAGUACAUCCAAAGCUCAACUCCUCAACUCCUAGACCUGGGCUUGAAGUCACGUAAAACCCCUACAGAGGUCAGCAAGUUUUAACAAAGGUAGGUUUUUCACAUGUGCCCACAUAGACCAAUAUUCUGGUGCAGAAGGACAAUACUUGCCUAAACCUUUAGAUAUAUAACACAUUCUUUACAACAUUAUUGCAUGAAGAUAUGGCUUCUAAAUUCAAAUCCAGUUCCACACAAAAGUAAGACAGCCUGUUGUGUUGAAGUACAAAACUGGUUGAUAAAUCCUACUCUAUAAUUUUUUCAUUGUUACAGGAUUUUUUUUAAAUUUGUAUUUUACAUACAUUUGAAUCAUUUAUACAAAUUCAAUAUAAAAUAUCUAACAGUAAUCUUUUUACUUAAAACCUUGUCAUGUGCCAUAUUCUCUUCUUUUUAGAUGGAAAUUAUCUAUUCUUCUAACAAUUCAACAAGCCAUUUCAUUAAAUCGCUGUAAUGCAAUUAAUGUGGACAGAAAAAAUUUCAAAGAACAUGGAAAUAUCUUGUUUAGAACACCAAAUUUAGAAGUGUCCACAUAUGCAAUAAUUUGAUAAUAAUAUGGUUUACCUUCAAACUGUGAUUAUAUCUCUCUCCUAUAGUUUUUAUGGGUUUUAAAAAGUUGAGUUCUUUUUCUCCUUUUUAGCUUGUUUUCAGAAUUUGAAAAACAGAGAUACAAAGGGAACUGUGGCAGCUGAAUUCUCUUUCAUGUAUGUCCAGACCAGGUGAAGCCCAGCAUAAUGUACUGUAAUAUGUCUCUUCAGUUCUCUGAUACAAUGACCUGUGCAUCCUCUAAAUCCCCCACAGAAUGCACAGACACAGACUGAUUGAGGUGAGAAUGGACUUAAGUAUAUAUUGUUCUUUGUAGCUCUGAAGAAUUGGCCCUUUUGCCAAAUGCAGGACGAUGUGGAUUGUAAUCUAUU